GUCGAACGGCAGCACAGCAGAGCUUGCUCUGUGGGUGGCGAGUGGCGGACGGGUGAGUAAUGCAUCGGGACCUACCCAGACGUGGGGGAUAACGUAGGGAAACUUACGCUAAUACCGCAUACGUCCUACGGGAGAAAGCGGGGGACCUUCGGGCCUCGCGCGGUUGGAUGGACCGAUGUGCGAUUAGCUUGUUGGUGAGGUAACGGCUCACCAAGGCGACGAUCGCUAGCUGGUCUGAGAGGAUGAUCAGCCACACUGGGACUGAGACACGGCCCAGACUCCUACGGGAGGCAGCAGUGGGGAAUAUUGGACAAUGGGCGCAAGCCUGAUCCAGCAAUGCCGCGUGUGUGA
rnacentral:rRNA from 1 species